UACAGGAGUGGCGAAAGGGUGAGGAACACGUGAGUAAGCUACCCUUCAGUUGGGAAUAACCCCUCGAAAGAGAGGCUAAUACCGAAUGUGACACAUUAAUUGCAUGAUUGAUGUGUUAAAGAUUUAUCGCUGAAGGAUGUGCUCGCGUCCCAUAAGCUAGUUGGUGAGGUAAUGGCCCACCAAGGCAAUGACGGGUAGGUGGUCUGAGAGGAUGGUCACCCACACUGGGACUGAGAUACUGCCCAGACUCCUACGGGAGGCUGCAGUCGAGAAUCUUCCGCAAUGGGCGAAAGCCUGACGGAGCAAUGCCGCGUGUAGGAUGAAGGUCUUUGGAUUGUAAACUACUGUCACCGGGGAUGAAUAAUGACAGUACCCGGGGAGGAAGCAACGGCUAACUACGUGCCAGCAGCCGCGGUAAUACGUAGGUUGCGAGCGUUGUUCGGAAUUAUUGGGCGUAAAGGGUUCGUAGGAGGUUCAUUAAGAUUGGUGUGAAAUCCCAAGGCUCAACCUUGGAACUGCAUUGAUUACUGAUGGACUAGAAUAUCGUAGAGGAGAGCGGAAUUCCAGGUGUAGCGGUGGAAUGCGUAGAUAUCUGGAAGAACACCGACAGCGAAGGCAGCUCUCUGGGCGAAAACUGACUCUGAGGAACGAAAGCGUGGGUAGCAAACAGGAUUAGAUACCCUGGUAGUCCACGCCGUAA
rnacentral:rRNA from 1 species